rnacentral:lncRNA from 7 species
GGGGGGGUCUGGGUGAUGUGGGGGGGGUCUGGGUGAUCUGGGGGGGUCUGGGUGAUGUGGGGGGGUCUGGGUGACGUGGGGGGGGGGUCUGGGUGAUGUGGGGGGGUCUGAGUGAGCUGGGGGGGGUCUGGGUGAUGAGGGGGGGGUCUGGGUGAGCUGGGGGGGGUUUGGGUGAUCUGGGGGGUCUGGGUGAUGUAGGGGGGUCUGGGUGAUGUGGGGGGUCUGGGUGAUCUGGGGGGGGGGUCUGGGUGAUGAGGGGGGGGUCUGGGUGAUGUGGGGGUCUGGGUGAUCUGGGGGUCUGGGUGAUGUGGGGGGGGGGUCCGGGUGACGUUGGGGGGCGCAUACGAAGGGCAUGAAGGCAACG